rnacentral:rRNA from 1 species
CCUACGGGGGGCAGCAGUGAGGAAUAUUGGUCAAUGGACGAGAGUCUGAACCAGCCAAGUAGCGUGAAGGAUGACUGCCCUAUGGGUUGUAAACUUCUUUUAUAUGGGAAUAAAAUGUUCCACGUGUGGGAUUUUGUAUGUACCAUAUGAAUAAGGAUCGGCUAACUCCGUGCCAGCAGCCGCGGUAAUACGGAGGAUCCGAGCGUUAUCCGGAUUUAUUGGGUUUAAAGGGAGCGUAGGUGGAUUGUUAAGGCAGGUGUGAAAGUUUGCGGCUCAACCGUAAAAUUGCAGUUGAAACUGGCAGUCUUGAGUACAGUAGAGGUGUGCGGAAUUCGUGGUGUAGCGGUGAAAUGCUUAGAUAUCACGAAGAACUCCGAUUGCGAAGGCAGUUCACUGGACUGCAACUGACACUGAGGCUCGAAAGUGUGGGUAUCAAACAGGAUUAGAUACCCUUGUAGUC